UACGUAGGAUGCAAGCGUUGUCCGGAAUUAUUGGGCGUAAAGAGCUCGUAGGCGGUUUGUCGCGUCUGCUGUGAAAACGCGAGGCUCAACCUCGCGCCUGCAGUGGGUACGGGCAGACUAGAGUGCGGUAGGGGAGAUUGGAAUUCCUGGUGUAGCGGUGGAAUGCGCAGAUAUCAGGAGGAACACCGAUGGCGAAGGCAGAUCUCUGGGCCGUAACUGACGCUGAGGAGCGAAAGCGUGGGAGCGAACAGG
rnacentral:rRNA from 1 species